rnacentral:misc_RNA from 1 species
UUUCCGUAGGCGAACCUGCGGAAGGAUCAUUAAAGAGAAUAUGCCCUUCGGGGUAGAUCUCCCACCCUUUGUUUAUAUUACCUUUGUUGCUUUGGCAGGCCCGUCUUCGGACCACCGGCUUCGGCUGGUCAGUGCUUGCCAGAGGACCCAAAACUCUUAUUAUUAGUGUCGUCUGAGUACUAUAUAAUAGUUAAAACUUUCAACAACGGAUCUCUUGGUUCUG